ACGCUGGCGGCAGGCCUAACACAUGCAAGUCGAGCGGUAGCACAGAGAGCUUGCUCUCGGGUGACGAGCGGCGGACGGGUGAGUAAUGUCUGGGAAACUGCCUGAUGGAGGGGGAUAACUACUGGAAACGGUAGCUAAUACCGCAUAAUGUCGCAAGACCAAAGUGGGGGACCUUCGGGCCUCAUGCCAUCAGAUGUGCCCAGAUGGGAUUAGCUAGUAGGUGGGGUAACGGCUCACCUAGGCGACGAUCCCUAGCUGGUCUGAGAGGAUGACCAGCCACACUGGAACUGAGACACGGUCCAGACUCCUACGGGAGGCAGCAGUGGGGAAUAUUGCACAAUGGGCGCAAGCCUGAUGCAGCCAUGCCGCGUGUGUGAAGAAGGCCUUCGGGUUGUAAAGCACUUUCAGCGGGGAGGAAGGCGGUGAGGUUAAUAACCUCACCGAUUGACGUUACCCGCAGAAGAAGCACCGGCUAACUCCGUGCCAGCAGCCGCGGUAAUACGGAGGGUGCAAGCGUUAAUCGGAAUUACUGGGCGUAAAGCGCACGCAGGCGGUCUGUCAAGUCGGAUGUGAAAUCCCCGGGCUCAACCUGGGAACUGCAUUCGAAACUGGCAGGCUAGAGUCUUGUAGAGGGGGGUAGAAUUCCAGGUGUAGCGGUGAAAUGCGUAGAGAUCUGGAGGAAUACCCGGUGGCGAAGGCGGCCCCCCUGGACAAAGAACUGACGCUCAGGUGCGAAAGCGUGGGGAGCAAAACAGGAUUAGAUACCCUGGUAGUCCACGCCGUAAACGAUGUCGAUUUGGAGGUUGUGCCCUUGAGGCGUGGCUUCCGGAGCUAACGCGUUAAAUCGACCGCCUGGGGAGUACGGCCGCAAGGUUAAAACUCAAAUGAAUUGACGGGGGCCCGCACAAGCGGUGGAGCAUGUGGUUUAAUUCGAUGCAACGCGAAGAACCUUACCUGGUCUUGACAUCCACAGAACUUUCCAGAGAUGGAUUGGUGCCUUCGGGAACUGUGAGACAGGUGCUGCAUGGCUGUCGUCAGCUCGUGUUGUGAAAUGUUGGGUUAAGUCCCGCAACGAGCGCAACCCUUAUCCUUUGUUGCCAGCGGUUCGGCCGGGAACUCAAAGGAGACUGCCAGUGAUAAACUGGAGGAAGGUGGGGAUGACGUCAAGUCAUCAUGGCCCUUACGACCAGGGCUACACACGUGCUACAAUGGCAUAUACAAAGAGAAGCGACCUCGCGAGAGCAAGCGGACCUCAUAAAGUAUGUCGUAGUCCGGAUUGGAGUCUGCAACUCGACUCCAUGAAGUCGGAAUCGCUAGUAAUCGUAGAUCAGAAUGCUACGGUGAAUACGUUCCCGGGCCUUGUACACACCGCCCGUCACACCAUGGGAGUGGGUUGCAAAAGAAGUAGGUAGCUUAACCUUCGGGAGGGCGCUUACCACUUUGUGAUUCAUGACUGG
rnacentral:rRNA from 1 species